rnacentral:rRNA from 1 species
AUAUACAGAAAUAUCACCUUGAGAAUGUCCGACCUCUGAUCUCAGAAGCUAAGCAGGGUUGAUCCUGGUAAGUACAGGAUGGGAGAGCGCUGGGAAAACCUGGCAGUGGCUUAGU